AAGACUGUACUUUCAGGGAUCAUUUCUUUAGUUUGGAACUAGAGGAUUGUGUUUCUACAGAGGUUGGUCUUGCUGUCCAUGAUGAUGAAUGAAGAUGUUUCCUUCAGAGCAGGAAGCUGGUGAGAAGAUGAGAAUCUUCUUCACUGAUGAAGACUGUUCAGUGUUUCUGGAUGUGACACUGAAGGAGGAAACAUUGUCUGAGUGGA
rfam:Oryzias latipes DNA, chromosome22, strain: Hd-rR.